rnacentral:rRNA from 1 species
CCUACGGGUGGCAGCAGUGAGGAAUAUUGGUCAAUGGACGAGAGUCUGAACCAGCCAAGUAGCGUGAAGGAUGACUGCCCUAUGGGUUGUAAACUUCUUUUAUAUGGGAAUAAAACGUUCCAAGUGUGGGAUUUUGUAUGUACCAUAUGAAUAAGGAUCGGCUAACUCCGUGCCAGCAGCCGCGGUAAUACGGAGGAUCCGAGCGUUAUCCGGAUUUAUUGGGUUUAAAGGGAGCGUAGGUGGGAUGUUAAGUCAGUUGUGAAAGUUUGCGGCUCAACCGUAAAAUUGCAGUUGAAACUGGCAGUCUUGAGUACAGUAGAGGUGGGCGGAAUUCGUGGUGUAGCGGUGAAAUGCUUAGAUAUCACGAAGAACUCCGAUUGCGAAGGCAGUUCACUGGACUGCAACUGACACUGAGGCUCGAAAGUGUGGGUAUCAAACAGGAUUAGAUACCCCAGUAGUC